UUUUGGACAAUGGGCGCAAGCCUGAUCCAGCCAUGCCGCGUGUGUGAAGAAGGCCUUCGGGUUGUAAAGCACUUUCGGACGGAACGAAAUCGCGCGCAUGAACAAUGCGCGUGGAUGACGGUACCGUAAGAAGAAGCACCGACUAACUACGUGCCAGCAGCCGCGGUAAUACGUAGGGUGCAAGCGUUAAUCGGAAUUACUGGGCGUAAAGGGUGCGCAGGCGGCCCCGCAUGUCAGGCGUGAAAUCCCCGGGCUCAACCUGGGAAUGGCGCUUGAAACUACGGGGCUGGAGUGUGGCAGAGGGAGGUGGAAUUCCACGUGUAGCGGUGAAAUGCGUAGAUAUGUGGAGGAACACCGAUGGCGAAGGCAGCCUCCUGGGCCAACACUGACGCUCAUGCACGAAAGCGUGGGGAGCAAACA
rnacentral:rRNA from 1 species